rnacentral:rRNA from 1 species
UACGUAGGGUGCAAGCGUUGUCCGGAAUUAUUGGGCGUAAAGAGCUCGUAGGCGGUCUGUCACGUCGGCUGUGAAAACCCGGGGCUCAACCCCGGGCCUGCAGUCGAUACGGGCAGACUAGAGUGCGGUAGGGGAGACUGGAAUUCCUGGUGUAGCGGUGAAAUGCGCAGAUAUCAGGAGGAACACCAAUAGCGAAGGCAGCUCGCUGGGACGUUACUGACACUGAGGCGCGAAAGCGUGGGGAGCGAACAGG